ACGAACGCGGCGGCGUGCUUAACACAUGCAAGUCGAACGAUGAAGGGGAGCUUGCUCCUUGGAUUAGUGGCGAACGGGUGAGUAACACGUGAGCAAUCUGCCCUUGACUCUGGGAUAAGCGUUGGAAACGACGUCUAAUACCGGAUAUGACCCUCGGAGGCAUCUCCUGGGGGUGGAAAGAAUUUUGGUCAAGGAUGAGCUCGCGGCCUAUCAGCUUGUUGGUGAGGUAAUGGCUCACCAAGGCGACGACGGGUAGCCG
rnacentral:rRNA from 1 species